CAAAAUUCAUAUAUUAUUAUCAUAAAAAAGAAUUCAUACAUCAUUUGAAUAUAGUCAAAAUUCAACAAAUGCUCCAUCUAAUACUAUUAUGCCUUACAAAAAUACUAAAUAUAUUAAAUAUGCAACUAGCUAGCCAUCUGGUACAAUUUUUCUUGUGAAUUCACAAGCUUCUUCAGCUCAACGUACGACUCAUUUAAUCCACCACAAACCUGCCACAAAAGCAUACAAAGAGCCAACCAAGAAUAUCAGCAAGAUAGCUAUAAUAACAUCAUGUCCAAGGGUUGCCAUCUUCCCCAUGAGUACAGCCGAAAAUGUACCUGAUAUACCAAGUGCAAGAAUGUUGCACGUACAGAACACAAUCGCUAGGAGCCAUCCUCUACAGAAAGCAAUAAUAAAGCCUCCUAAGAAUGUCGAAGAAAAUUGAAUGAAUUUUUCCACCUGUGAUGAUCAACUUAUGUUUAGGAAUCUUUACCAAGCUUUUACAAUGAUUAUCGUGCUUACAUAAAAAGUAGCAGCUUAAGAGCUUACUUUUUUGCCCAUGGCAUCUUGAAUGAGGAUCGUAUCACCAGACAUUCUCCCAAUGAUCUCUCCCGUUAACAAAUGCGUGCUUUUUCUACAGUAAAUUUAUGGCAAUAAACGUAUUUAAGCUACGAUGGCAUUCAAACACAGGAAACAGAGCAAGUACUCACGUAGAAGUGAAGCAACACCAGCACCAAAUCAUUCCAAAGAACUACAAUUAUUCUGCUCCACAUCACACCAAAAAUUUACAUAAUUAAUUAAGAUGAACUUAAGUAAUGACAAGAGGAAGAGGAAUAUGAGAUGGAACUGUAAGACUCACGAUUUUCCAGCACCACUCGUUCCCAUAACCACUGUAGCUUUGCUUGUCCAAUGUUGGUAGCAUCAUAUAAUUACUAAGAUUAUAAAAAAUAAAUGACUAAUCAACUCACUGAUUUCAAUUAUGUAUACCUUUAUUAAAUGUCAUCUGAUAUACCUUUAAAAUGCAUANCCAUAACCACUGUAGCUUUGCUUGUCCAAUGUUGGUAGCAUCAUAUAAUUACUAAGAUUAUAAAAAAUAAAUGACUAAUCAACUCACUGAUUUCAAUUAUGUAUACCUUUAUUAAAUGUCAUCUGAUAUACCUUUAAAAUGCAUAUAUAAGAUCUCUCUUUCCCAUCAAAUAGUUGCUGUCAAAUUAACUAAAUUACUAAAACUUCACAAUGAUUCAAUAAUGCAAAAAAANGGAAUGACCAUACUAAGAGAAGUCUCCACACAGCUAGACGCACACAGGGAGUCGCAAUUAAAAAUCUCUUCCACAUUAUGAGGUUGACUUAGUGAUAAAACAAAAAAAAUUAC
rnacentral:lncRNA from 1 species